GUACUUUGUUAAUGAAAUUUGAUGUCUUUCUUAUUUUGUUCAUUCAUUCAUUAGUUUUGGAUUCGUAAACAGAGGUAAGUGUUUCCAUCUUAAUUUCAUUAAGAUCUUAACAUGGAUGUGUUUAUUUAUUUAAAAUUGGUCUAAAUUUUGAGUUUUUAUUUAUGAGAUUGAUACGAAACUGGAAAGAGUCUAACUUCAAGUGUUAAUAAUUUAAUUCCUUUGUUUUUUGUUGGUCCUAAUUUGAUAUGUAUCUGCAUGUUAAGAUUACGAUUUAGAUUGUUUCUUUUUUGUAAUCUGUAGAAUUUUUAAUAUGAUUGUGGAACUGGGUGUGAAAUAUUGUGAAGUUUGUAGUGGGUAAUGGAGGGCGUGAGGAAUUGGGUUUGUUUGAGGAGGAAAGAGAAGGAAAGGGCGUUUCUUGCUGGGAUAAUGGUCGCCAAUAUUGAUGAGUUUUUAGUUAGGCUUUAUUUGGUUGGGAGGAAUCGGAAGGAAAAGAAAAGAAAGGAAAGUUAAAAUAAUGUUUCCUGUAUUUGGUACAAAUAAUUAUAUGGGAAGUGGAAGGAAAGGAAGGGAAUUGGAAGGAAAGCUCCUUUAUAAAAAUUUCACUUUCCUUUCCUCCCAAAAUUGGACGAAUUCGGAAGGAAAGCUUUUUAGCUGUCAUUUAUAUUUCCUUUCUCUUCCCUUCAUUUCUUUCCCUUAAACCAAACACGGGAAAAUAAAAUCUCUUUCCCUUCCCUUCUUUUCCUUUCUUUUCCCUUCCUUUCUUCUCUCUUCCUUUCCUUUACUAAUAAUGAACCAAAUAGGGCCUUAGGAAGGAGUUGAAUUUCUAGGGUUUAGGAAUUUUGAUUUUGAUUGUCAUUGGUGAUGACCAAGUUGCAAAAUAAGAAUAUGUUUAGCAGCAACCCAACUCCUGCAAUGUAGAAAAGCUCAUUCUUGUCAGAAUUACUCAUUGUGUGUUUUUGUCUGUGGUUUUUUGAGAAUUAAUGAAAUCUAAACCCUUUUUUUUCCUCUAGAAAAUAAGUUGGAUUAUUGUUUGUGCAACUAAUAUUGAUGACCAACUUGGAAAAAAUCGAUAUUCAAGAAAAACCCAACUUGGAUGAAAUCAGAUAGUCAUACACUCUUUUAAAAAUAACACAAACUUACAAGAAAAAGUUGAACCCCAAUUCUAAUCCAAUCAUAUUACAGAAAAUUGGAAAACCAAGAAAAUAAGAGUGAAAAUUAAACCUGACUCUGGGCGCUGUAGUUUCAAACACUAAACUCAAAUUUCCUAAAAUCAAUAUUGUCUAAAAAAAAUGAGCGUUUUAUUUGCAUUUGGUAGUGUUCUGUUAUGCAUAGUGAUACUAAAAUGGUUAUGGAAAUUACUAAAUGGGUUAUGGUUAAAUCCCAAAAGGCUAGAGAAAUGUCUAAAGCAACAAGGCCUUGUUGGUAAUUCCUACAAAUUUUUGAUGGGAGAUAUGAAAGAAAGCUCUACUUUGCGUGCUCAAGCUUUGAACAAACCCAUUCCUUUUACUCAUGAUUACUACCAUCGUAUUCAGCCUUUCACCCAUCAGAUUCUCAACAAUUCUUGUGCAGGCAAAAAUAUCUACACAUGGUUGGGACCAGUGCCAACAAUACUAAUUACACAGCCUGAGUUAAUAAAGGAUGCUUUCAAUAGGAUGAACAAUUUCCAAAAACAAAGAUUAAAUCCAUAUACUCAAAUACUUUCAGCUGGACUUCCGAACUACGAGGGCCAGAAAUGGGCUAAACACAGGAAGCUUCUCAACCCUGCUUUUCAACUUCAUAAGCUCAAGCUUAUGAUCCCGGCUUUUGAAACCUGCGUUACUGAUACACUAAAUAAGUGGGAGAAGUUGUGAUCCUUGUGUUCCUUUGUGUGUUUUUGGAUUAUUUGCUUUGUCUAUUUCGCUGGUUCGACUUAUUAUCUUUUCAGGCCGAGAAUCAAUUCAUGGCUGGAACAUGGGAAAAGACGAACCUUAACAAAUGGGUAACUGAAAGGAUUAAGGUUUGGUCUCGCCAUUCACAUUAUUUAGUUUUUGCGUACAUUGUUCAUGGGUAUGUGGUUUAAUGCUGACAAGAAAAAUGAACUUACUCCAAAUCUACAUUGUCUCUUCCGCUUUCCCCUAUGUUAUAUCCAUUAAUUUUACCAUCUUUUCCCCCGCUCUUAGUUAAAUUUUGCAAUGCAACCUAAAAUAUUGAUUCAGUUCUUCUAAGCGGAUCCUUUAUUUGCUAUUUUUUUUAAAAAACGUAGAAAAGAUGGAAUUAGAGAGAAAAAUAGGCCUUUUUUAAAGGAAGACAUUGAUGUUUGAUUGAAGGAAUUGAAAUUACAAAGUACUUCGUCUUACAUAAACAUAUUCAUAUUUAAACUUUAUACGGAGUACGUAGUAUUAAGAAAAAGUGCCUAAGGUUCAAGAAAUCUUAAAUGGCUAAUUCUCUACCCUUGUUGUGUCAACUUUGUUCUAAUUCUCUAAUUCUAACAUAUGAUGCUCACAAAUCUACCAUAGUGCGGCGUAUACACACAAUAGUUGUUAAUUUACACAAUUUACAACUCAACUUAUAUCGAUGUAUUGCCUUUAAAAUGUUCAAUUGUAAUUCAAAUCAAUUGGAUUAAAUAUAGUGGUAACAAAUACACUUUUGGAAUACUAAAUAAUCUUGCUUUGACUUUUUCUUUUGAAUUAAUUAAUAACCUUUUAAUUUUAAUAGAUUUUGAAUAAUUUAAUGGUAAAUGAAGGUGCAGUUUUCUGCCCUUAUUAUUACGUUUGCAUCCAGAGGAAACUUAUGAAUCAAAUGGACUUAGACAGUCAAGAUGCAU